rnacentral:rRNA from 1 species
GACGAACGCUGGCGGCGUGCCUAAUACAUGCAAGUAGAACGCUGAAGGAGGAUCUUGCUUCUCUGGAUGAGUUGCGAACGGGUGAGUAACGCGUAGGUAACCUGCCUGGUAGCGGGGGAUAACUAUUGGAAACGAUAGCUAAUACCGCAUAAUAGUAGAUGUUGCAUGACAUUUGCUUAAAAGGUGCAAUUGCAUCACUACCAGAUGGACCUGCGUUGUAUUAGCUAGUUGGUGGGGUAACGGCUCACCAAGGCGACGAUACAUAGCCGACCUGAGAGGGUGAACGGCCAAAAUGGGACUGGGAAACGGCCCAGACUCCCACGGGAGGCAGCAGUAGGGAAUCUUCGGAAAUGGACGGAAGUCUGACCGAGCAACGCCGCGUGGGAGAAGAAGGUUUUCGGAUCGUAAAGCUCUGUUGUAAGAGAAGAAAGAGUGUGAGAGUGGAAAGUUCACACUGUGACGGUAUCUUACCAGAAAGGGACGGCUAACUACGUG